UGACGGUCGCAGUAUGCGUUAAAAGAGAAGCAGGUGAGAAUCCUGCGCGGUCGCGCCGCUGUGAGGAAUAGCCGUAUCGUAUUAUGUCACUGGAUUUUUCCGGGAAGGCACGAUAUGGCGUCUGAUUUCCGAGCCAGAAGAACUGCCGUGAUA
rnacentral:ncRNA from 1 species